CCUACGGUGAGCAGCAGUGAGGAAUAUUGGUCAAUGGACGCAAGUCUGAACCAGCCAUGCCGCGUGCAGGAAGACGGCUCUAUGAGUUGUAAACUGCUUUUGUACGAGGGUAAACGCAGAUACGCGUAUCUGUCUGAAAGUAUCGUACGACUAAGGAUAGGCUAACUCCGUGCCAGCAGCCGCGGUAAUACGGAGGAUUCAAGCGUUAUCCGGAUUUAUUGGGUUUAAAGUGUGCGUAGGCGGUCGGAUAAGUUAGUGGUGAAAUCCAGAGGCUCAACUUCGGAAUUGCCGCUGAUACUGUUCGGCUAGAGAGUAGUUGCGGUAGGCGGAAUGUAUGGUGUAGCGGUGAAAUGCUUAGAGAUCAUACAGAACACCGAUUGCGAAGGCAGCUUACCAAGCUACUUCUGACGUUGAGGCACGAAAGCGUGGGGAGCAAACAGGAUUAGAUACCCGAGUAGUC
rnacentral:rRNA from 1 species